rnacentral:lncRNA from 1 species
CUUCUCCAGUCUCUCGAUCAUCUUUGUGGCCACUCAGUAGACUCCCUUCAGUAAUUUUGGGAAAGGACUCUCUUGUACCAGAAGCAAGUGCUGGACUCAGCACUGCAGAUACAGUGCUGAGCAGAAAGAAAGGAUCAGUCUCUAAUCUGCAGCCCAGGAUUCCAUUGGCUUUCAUCUAGGGUGGAAGACACUGUGAUUCAAGUCCUUCCUGAUUCAAUGCACAAACCUGAAUUUCCACUCCACUUUUCCCAGAUGGCUACUCUAGCUACUGUAUUGUUCAGACUUUUUGUAUGAAGGAUUUGAGGGCUGCCUCUUGAUCCAUCCUGAAGAACACAUUCUUCUUAGGAAACACUGUAAGUUUGACUUGCUCCAC